rnacentral:rRNA from 1 species
UACGUAGGGUGCGAGCGUUAAUCGGAAUUACUGGGCGGAAAGCGUGCGCAGGCGGUUUUGUAAGCCAGAUGUGAAAUCCCCGGGCUUAACCUGGGAAUGGCAUUUGGGACUGCAAGGCUGGAGUGCGGCAGAGGAGACUGGAAUUCCUGGUGUAGCAGUGAAAUGCGUAGAUAUCAGGAGGAAUACCGAUGGCGAAGGCAGGUCUCUGGGCUGACACUGACGCUCAUGCACGAAAGCGUGGGGAGCAAACAGG